UUUAAAGAUCACCUGCUCACCCCUGACCAGGGCAGGGAGAUCCACGAGGCCCAGGUGCUCAAAGGCUCAUCCAGUCUACCAGGUUACGCAGCAGAGGCUGCAUUGGGCAGCAUCUCUUCGCACACCCUGGGAGUGCUGGGCGGCUCAGCCAUGCUGGUAAACAACUUUAUGGAGCAGAACUGUCUUCAGAGGUUCUCUCGCCUGAUACCUGAACUAGUGACUGUGAACACGACGUGCACCGUGUGAAGCCAAAUAACCCUCCAGGAAUUCUUUCUAUUAAAAUAAUUGCUAGGGCAGGGGAAUACUGCAAACAGCUGUGGUUCAUCCCAUAAACAUAUUCUGCCUCCUUUGGAACCUCAGCCUCCAACUGAUGCCAGAGCCUGUCAGCUGCAGGAGCAGUGGAACAUAUUUCCUUUGCAGAAAUGAAACGAUUACUGAUGAAUAAAUCUGUUGUGCACAGACCUGAACUCCCCAGUGCGUGCUGCAUAUGCAAAAGGGAAAAGUGGCAGUGUUUCACCCUGGAAGGAGCUGGAGCGACAGUUCAUCUGCUGAAGGCGCUGGCUGUGGAGCUGCCUUGUGUCACUGAGCGUGAGGAAAAAUCCCCCACGUCAGUCCAGCAGUGAAUGGCAUCACCUUGCCAUGCAGGGCCCUUGCUCUGGCAGGGAAGCAGCUGUCCCAUGUCAUGGAUGGGCUGAGAGCAGGCUCCCUGCAGGCCCAGCAUCCUCCUUUGGCAGUCUGGUGGCCAAGGGCUGAGCUGGCAGGACAGGAGGGCCCUGGGCCCAGAGGGGCUGGGGGUCCCUGGGCUGGGGCAAUGGGCGCUUCCAGGCUGAUUGCUGCUACAGAAACCCAGGCAAGAGCUGAGCCCCUGGCUGCACUGAUCCCACGAGGUGAUGCCUGGAGUGGAGGGGGAGAUGGGAUGGACCAGAGAAAACCCUGCUCUGCAUCUGUGAGGGGACAGGAAGGAGAAAUCUCAGAGGUCACUGAGACCUGUACGUGCCGGGUUUCACGGGCUCCGCGUUGUCUGGCAAAGCCAAACCCUCUGGCAGGCCCGUUUAUUUCUGUCAGUCCCGUCUGAGUGCAGGAGGUGGGCAGGGGACACGGGCACUGACGGCCCUGGUGUGCAGGCGAGCUGUCCGCAGCCCUUGUGCCACAGUUCCUGCAGGAGUGGGAGCAGCGCUCGCCCAGCCCCACCGCUGCCUGUCAGGCUGCUCAAACAGCCGGCACUGCACUGGCAAGUGUUGUUAAUCAAGAGCCACAGUUCAAGGCAUUUGACUGGCACAUCCAGUCAAGUGGCAGCAAACACGCUGUAAAACCACUGUGCUGAGGCCACCUUCCUAAUGAAGGCAAAGUGGGAGCAAUCAAUCAGGGCCGGCAGCCAGGCUGGCACCGCCUCUGCAAAUGCAAAUUGAACGAACAAUAAUGAGCGUUAUCUAAUUAGUGCACACAGCUGCAAUGUUACAGCCCUGUAUAGGACACACCUUGUUAAAUUUCAUGGUAUGUAUCCCAGAGUGUCUGAGAAAAUGAUGGAGGUUUGCCACGUGCACACCUUGUAGAGCACAGCCAGGUAGAAUCGUGGUGAUAAAUGCAUUAUUCUCAGCAGGUGCGCUCUGGAUUGAGCAGUGCCAGGAUGGCCACAGACUGGGAAUGGACCCUGCUGUGGAAGGGUCAGCCCUCAGUGAACUCCUCCUGCACUGCAGCUCCAGCACCUGCUCUUACACCAGGAGG